UACGUAGGGGGCAAGCGUUGUCCGGAAUCAUUGGGCGUAAAGCGUGCGUAGGCGGUUUGUUAAGUCUGUUGUGAAAGCCCCGGGCUCAACCUGGGAAUGGCAAUGGAUACUGGCAAGCUAGAGUGCGGUAGAGGGUAGUGGAAUUCCCGGUGUAGCGGUGAAAUGCGUAGAGAUCGGGAGGAACACCAGUGGCGAAGGCGGCUACCUGGACCAGCACUGACACUGAGGCACGAAAGCGUGGGGAGCAAACAGG
rnacentral:rRNA from 1 species